UCAGCCUUAAAGUCCAGCAGGCAAAAUAUGAACCUCUUUCGCCUUGUUUCGUAGAAGAUGGUGUGCCAUCUUGUGGAAAUCUUAUUGUUACCCCAGAAAGGGAAGGAUAGACAGCACUGACUGAGUCACGGGCUUGAUUGCAUGCACUGAGAAAGGCAUCAACAGUAUGGGGGACACGGAAGGAGGUAGAGGGUGAAUGGUGUGGAAGAGACUGCAGCAGAAUUCCAUAUUACAGCUCGUCACCAGUGGGCGUAUUUGGUAAUGUUAUAAAGUUCUGAGAAGAUGCCCACUGAAGGCAACCAACACUGCCCCUUCCAGUCAGACCCCUACAAACCUCGGACAACCCCGGAAAGAGGCGUCUAUUCAUGCACUAAGCCGGAUGGAGCUCUUAACCAUUUUGACCCAAUCACGAUAGCCAAUAA